UGGGGUUUGUCUGCAGACACCAGG
rnacentral:piRNA from 1 species